GACGAACGCUGGCGGCGUGCUUAACACAUGCAAGUCGAACGAUGAACCACUUCGGUGGGGAUUAGUGGCGAACGGGUGAGUAACACGUGGGCAAUCUGCCCUUCACUCUGGGACAAGCCCUGGAAACGGGGUCUAAUACCGGAUACAACACUCUCGGGCAUCCGAUGAGUGUGGAAAGCUCCGGCGGUGAAGGAUGAGCCCGCGGCCUAUCAGCUUGUUGGUGAGGUAACGGCUCACCAAGGCGACGACGGGUAGCCGGCCUGAGAGGGCGACCGGCCACACUGGGACUGAGACACGGCCCAGACUCCUACGGGAGGCAGCAGUGGGGAAUAUUGCACAAUGGGCGAAAGCCUGAUGCAGCGACGCCGCGUGAGGGAUGACGGCCUUCGGGUUGUAAACCUCUUUCAGCAGGGAAGAAGCGAAAGUGACGGUACCUGCAGAAGAAGCGCCGGCUAACUACGUGCCAGCAGCCGCGGUAAUACGUAGGGCGCGAGCGUUGUCCGGAAUUAUUGGGCGUAAAGAGCUCGUAGGCGGUCUGUCGCGUCGGAUGUGAAAGCCCGGGGCUUAACCCCGGGUCUGCAUUCGAUACGGGCAGACUAGAGUGUGGUAGGGGAGAUCGGAAUUCCUGGUGUAGCGGUGAAAUGCGCAGAUAUCAGGAGGAACACCGGUGGCGAAGGCGGAUCUCUGGGCCAUUACUGACGCUGAGGAGCGAAAGCGUGGGGAGCGAACAGGAUUAGAUACCCUGGUAGUCC
rnacentral:rRNA from 1 species